CCCUCAUUCGAAGCAACAUAUCAAAUUAACAGUUAAAAAACACAUAUAUCGUAUCCUAAACCUACAGGGGCCCUUUUGUGCCAAGGUUAGGCAUAGCGCAUUCGAAAAAGCAAUAAUUUAAGAACACAAUAAUGAAAGCAAGUAAGUAGUUAUUUACAAAUAGCAAAAUAAGUUUAAUUUUAAGGUUAGAAUCCUUCAAAUCCCCAUCAUAGUUGCCAUUCUGUUUUAGUCAGAAAGGAAAAUAUAUUAUUUCUUAGAGAGUUGAUUUAGAGUCACCACUUAAUUUGUAAGAAAAAUCAACAACAUUUAGUUUUAAAUAGAUUAAAUAGGGAAUUUUAUGAAAACCUAAAAAGAGGGUUCGAGAUUCUUAUUUAUAUUUUAGGAAGGUUUUUACGGAACCUAAAAAAUACUCACUAACUCACGAUUAUCCAAUAACUAAUUUGUUUGGCUAAAAUGUCUAACUAAAAUUUUGAGAGAAGAAUUAUUUAGAGUUGUUUGGAACUGAUGUAUGAAUUUUACUAUCUAAUUGAAUUUUAAUUUGUAAAAUUUAGUUUAAGUUAUUUACUUGAUUUGAUUAAGUCAUUAAAACAAAGUGGCGUCUUGCGGGAUUUUGAAUUUUUAACCCUAAAACUAACGAUAAUUGAUAAUAGAUAAAUAAACAUCAAAAUAAGAGAGAGAGAGAGAGAGAGAGAGAGAGAGAGAGAGAGAGAGAGAGAGAGAAAAGAGAGGAUAGAGUCGGAUCCAAAUCCGGCUUCUGUUCGCCUGGACCGGUAUUUGGACCCAUUUGUUUUUGGGCCUUAAGCCCAUUCAAUUUUGUACUUGUCCUAAAUUCUAGAAAAAUAAUAAUACAAUGAUGACAAUAACUUAGGCCUAAACCAACCAAAUACAAUAAAAAUAAAUUUUUAAAAAAAGAUAAACAAAUAAAGUGGGCCUCUUGGCCCAACUUCUUGAACUCUUCCACUUUGGAUUUUUCCACUUUGAGACCUGUACAUCGAUUUUCAUAUCUAGUCGAUUCGAUAAAUGGAAUUUGAGACUUUAUGGCUCUCUCUAAAUGCAAAGAAAGAUGAUAGGAGUUCAAUUGGACUCAAACGGUUUCACAUGCAACGAAAGAAUAAGAAAACAUUAGUGUCCAAAUAAUAUAGGUAUGAACCUACCAAAGCAAUGUAAUACACUAGCGCAUAGAUUAUGAUUUAAUUUAGUGACUUAAGGAUUAAUUAUUAAAACACAUGAGAUAGUGAAGGAACGAACAUACAAUAAAGUUAACAUCAUUUGAUAUAUAAUCUUACAGUGAAAAAUAAGGCUCAAUUGAUACAACUUAGAAGGGCAGGGAUGAUUUUAAAACAUAACUAUUGGUGACAAAGCUUCAAAAAAUCCAAAUUAUUUUAGGCAUUACGACAAUCUCAAAAAAUAAAAUGGCAAUCUGAAUCCAUAAUAUUAACUUAUCAUCUUUUAAUUUAAUUGAACUGGGAAAGUGAUCUAUAGUAAAUAGUAGGAAAACAAUAUGAAACAAAAAAAACAUGUAGCUUAGACUAAUGCACAUUUGAUAUUAAACAAUGGCUUCUAACUGUAACAACAUAAGCUAAAUUCAAGACCUUCUAGGAAAUUGAAUGUAUAUUAUUUAUAUUUUUUUAAAAAAAAUACAAGAAAGCAUGCUAAUUGAGAUAAGAAACAGCAAAGAUAAACUUAACGGCUUAUUAUGAGCAAGACUCGACAGGAUAAGAGAGAUAUGAACAAAAUAAUCAAAGACUUUGAAUUUGAACCAAUAUAAGCAAAUGAUAACAUACCGCAUCAACAAGGAGAUAGCAUUUAACUAAGCUUGAAUACAUAAACGACGAAACUAUACUAACAGCAACAUGUAACACUCCAAUUAACCAAGUUUCAAUAUGUAAAUAUUACCUUAAAGUAUAAGAGAUUUAAAGAGGGGGGCGGAGGGAAAGUAACAUUGACUAAAAAAGCAAAAGGCAAACCCCCUGCAUAUCUACACUUUACGAGCAAGAGAAAGACACGAUGUCACACUAGAUUGAGGAAAUUAGCUAAAACAUUCAGAUUAUAUAACAUCACAUGAAUAACCCGAUUAAGCUAAUAUUAGAGCAGCGAAACCACUGCUAGUACAUCUGAAAAUAGUGAAAAAGAUAAUAAUAAAUAAAUAAAAAACAAACGAGACGGGACCAAAUAUAUGAAGGAUAGAAUUAUUGCACAAGAAUACCCAAUCUAAAAGGAAACAAUAAAUCGAAAUACACUAAUUAACUAGUAAUCUUUCGACAACCUAACUCGAGGGAAGGGAGUAAGAAAGCCCCCAAAAUAAUCACAAAGAACAAUGAAGUCAAGCUAAAUUCAAGAUAAGAUAAAUUCAAGACCUUCUAGGAAAUUGAAUGUAUAUUAUUUAUAUUUUUUAAAAAAAAUACAAGAAAGCAUGCUAAUUGAGAUAAGAAACUGCAAAGAUAAACUUAACAGCUUAUUAUGAGCAAGACUCGACAGGAUAAGAGAGAGAUGAACAAAAUAAUCAAAGACUUUGAAUUUGAACCAAUAUAAGCAAAUGAUAACAUACCGCAUCAACAAGGAGAUAGCAUUUAACUAAGCUUGAAUACAUAAACGACGAAACUAUACUAACAGCAACAUGUAACACUCCAAUUAACCAAGUUUCAAUAUGUAAAUAUUACCUUAAAGUAUAAGAGAUUUAAAGAGGGGGGGGGAAGUAACAUUGACUAAAAAAGCAAAAGGCAAACCCCCUGCAUAUCUACACUUUACGAGCAAGAGAAAGACACGAUGUCACACUAGACUGAGGAGAAAUUGGCUAAAACAUUCAGAUUAUAUAACAUCACAUGAACAACCUGAUUAAGAUAAUAUUAGAGCAGCGAAACCACUGCUAGUACAUCUGAAAAUAGUGAAAAAGAUAAUUAAUAAAUAAAUAAAAAACAAACGAGACGGGACCAAAUAUAUGAAGGUAGAAUUAUUGCACAAGAACACCCAACAAUAAAUCGAAAUACACUAAUUAACAAGUAAUCUUUCGACAACCUAACUCGAGGGAAGGGAGUAAGAAAGCCCCCAAAAUAAUCACAAAGAACAAUGAAGUCAAGCCAAAGAUAAGUCACAACAUCACAAAACAUUAGAGAUAUAUGCAAGUAACAAGGGGUAUCAACAUGGUAGUUGCAUUGAAGAACGAAAUCUAAGACUUAUACGGACGACAACAUGUAGAGCUCAUAUUUUUUAUAUCAGAUGAAUAUGGAGAUGAUUCUAACUCAAAUGCUACGCUACUGUAUAAACAAAGAGGAAGAAGAACCAGCAGACAACUUCAGCUCACCAAAAAAAAUCUCAACUAAAGAGUUGGAGUUGAAAGAAGUUUACCUUUCCGGAGGCAACGAACGGAGACCACAAACAAGCAAUGAUUUCACCAAAGAAACUCAAGAACGAACCACAACCUAGAAUUCCAAGUAGAAUAUCACCUUCAAACAGCUAACUCUUUUAUCUUUUUGUUUUGUGAUAAAGUAUUUGCAGUAUGUAUUUCUAACUACUUUUUUAAAAUUAUUUUCCGUUCAAUCGCUCAAAAUUCCCACUCAAAGAAAAUUCUUCUCUCUAUCAGUUCAUGUUUUCAGCCUCAAAAUAAAAGAAAAUUUCCUCUCACAAUAAAGAAGAAAAGGAGUUUAUAAAUGAGGAAAUUAGGGUUUAAUUUUUGGGGGAAAAGGGAAGAAAACCCGGGUACAAGGUCCAUCUUCUUGAAUUCAAACUUGAAUUCUUUCUCCAUUUAGGCCAACACCUUUUCUCUAAAGCCUAAACCCAUUCCCAAAGAAGAAAGGAGAAUGGACGGAUUGGAUGUGUCUCUCGUCCUUGAAGCUCGACGUGGCGCUCAUCUAUGUGAGUCAAGGACGAGGUCGUAGGUGCCAUUGUAGAGAAAUGAAAGCUUUAAUUGAAGAAAGCUGAAGGAAAUUGUACCUAGAAAGAAGGCGCAUAGCGAGUUGCUCUUUGUCUUAUUUUGACAUGUGAAGGAAGAAGGAAUCACGUAAAGGGUCGUCUGGUAUGCGCAGCUGCUGUUCACGUCUUCUAGGAAUAAUUAAG
rnacentral:lncRNA from 1 species